CUGUUUAUAUGUCAUGAAUUAUUGUUCUCACCGUUUCAAUGCCGAGUGGCUUCAAGCUCACUUUGAAAUGCACCAACGAACAUCUCGCCGAGAUGACACUGUAUAUAAAUGACUUUGGAGCCCACCACCUUCAACAGCUGCUUUUCCUCAGCUGGUUGUGUGCGAUGCAUCUCCUCUGCUCAUCCACGUGCGCCUGGCCACCUGCGAACUGAUCCUGCAUCUAAAGAACGUCUCUGCAGAGUCUGGCUCGUGAGACGGUCUCACAUUCCAUGCCUCCACGGCGGCACCAUCUCCACUCAUUUCAUCGUCCUGAAAUGAGAAAGGGAAUCAGCAUAUAUGAAAUUGCUCAAACUUUGGAGGGCCAGCGAGAAAAAAAAGCACGUGUAAUCGCAUUCGGAUGCAAUCGAGUCUCAAAGAGAGGCUGGAAAAAUAAAAUUAUCCACCGCCCAAACAUUAUUAUGCAUAAGUCCAUUAUCUGGUUACAGCCGGAGAAGAAAGCAGCAGCCUGCAUUAACAUUCACGGCAGAGCAGACAUGAAUAUCUGAGGAGCGAAAGGUUAGAGAAAUCAAGAUCAUCGCUGCAAUAUUAGAGCUGCGGGCUCCUGGUGGACGUCCAGCGCUUCGCCGCAGGAACUCCCCAGGGGUUUCCAUGCUGACCCAUCUCCUUCCUCCCGAUCACACAACUAGCAUUUAAACUGAAGGAGAGCAUCUGCCCCAGCGCUGUGGAAUCCAUCUCUGCUGGACUCCCACUCAGGAAUUCUGGAUUCAAAGACCUUUAGAAGGACACGGCAGUUUGGAGUCGCCAGCGCUGCCAUCCCUCAAGAUGGACGAAAAGCGCGGAUGAAUAAAACAUGCUCGGGUCGGAGAUGGUUGACGGCCGGGAGUCCCACACAGAAGCAACGCCAGUCCAUGAUGGCUGUCAGCUGAGAUAAGGUUCUCCUCACUGAUGUGGUGUGACCAUGAGCUCUCCUACGGUGCCAGAAAAGUUGGGUUCCAUGGAUAAAAUGGGCACCUUGUAAAACCACGUAACAUCAUGAACGAAGUGCCUGGACCUUCUGGUUUGUUCCCACACUUCAGGCUCCCAAGAAGAACGGAUCUUCUGAUGCCGCUAAUGUUGAGAGAGUUAUAUUUGCUAAAUGGAACCUUUGAGGGCACCUUUUAGUUCCACAACUUAAUGACCCAAAUGACUCUAUGUGCCACUCAGAUGUUUCACCUCAUGCACCACUCUGUCGUAGGUUCCAUGACUCUCCUCUGUGGCUUUCUACCGGCCACUCCGGUUUCCUCCCACUGUUCAAAAACAUACACAGCUUCAGCGGUGACUCUAAACUGUCCGUAGGUGCGAGUGCGUACACGACUUGUCCAUCAUGUCCCAGUGUUUCCCUUCUCUCACACCAGCGAGUUGGAAAACCAGUCAGGAGGCUCCAUUUCAAAGCUCUGCUUUGCAACCUUACAUGGAGAAAGGAUGGAAAAUCAUUGGUCCCCAAACUGUAUUCCAUUUCUCAGCGGACUCCCUGCGGGUGAGCUUGACCUUCUCUAAGUAAAGGAACACCAUUAAGUCUUUCCCCUCCUUCUCCCUCUCCCCCGAGCAUUGUUCUGCUGCCGACUGAUGGUGAUGAAAAGACAAUUCCAUCUUUCUUUCUUUCCUUUAAUAAGUUCAAGACCCCCCCAAAAAUAACAUUUCACCUCCAGAGAGGUGUUCACUGAUGGACUCCUAAUUUUUUGGUGCGCUUUUCCCCGUUAUAUAUUAUAAGAUUUUUAUUCUCCCCUGAAUUUUCACUCAAGUAUGAAACUUUUUCUUGAAUUAUUACCCAGUACUUUUGGCUGUCAAGGUUUUCAGAAGUGAAGUGAUGCAGAUGGUUCGGGUGAAUUACACCUCUACAAGGUCGACUGAGGCGGUAUUAUUCUUGGCGGUUAUUGACAUGAGUUAUAUUCAAAAGUAUUGGAAUAGAAAUAUGUGAAGGAGCAGGAGGCAGACUUAGCAGAAACUCUGCUCUUGGAGAAAAUGGACGGUUUCAGUGGGAGUAGGGGGCUGGUUCACGAGUUAUGGGAGAGACAGGUCCAAGCCCAACACGGUCCAAGCAGCGGGCCGCUCUUCUGUGUGUAGCUAGCUGUGUGGUACUCACUCACGGCUGUUUUCUCUCUGAAUGAAGAGAAAUCAAAAUCAGUUGCCACUGGAUUCUUGCUACUGGAUGACGUUAAAAGUCACUCCAACCAGGAGGGAGGAUGAGAGGACCUUGCCUGGAGGAAGAUGGAGGCGUCCCAGGUGAGCUGUGACAUCCAUGUCAGUUUGAUCCUGCUAUUAGCUUUUGCCACUAGCAUGCUAAUGUGCCGUCUCUGUGGUGACCUACAUUUGGAAAGGAUGGUGAAUGGCCGAUCGUCGUAACUCUUAUAAGCUCUUCCUAUGAGAGAAUCUUAAUCGCGAUUUUCGACACUGAAAACAAUCGGGACGGACAAUAAGACCCAAAUUCUUAAUGCGAGUCGGGAGUGCUGACUGAUCCUGACUCGAACUGUGGCGUGAAAUGGGGCGGAGCCAGUCAACAAGCGAUCCAACAGAGAAACAAGGAAGCAAAGGGUGACGUUUUGACCUUUAUUGAAUUGAUGGUGAUGAAAAUUUUUAAUCAUUAGAAGUAAAUGUCACUCCAAUCUGCAGCCAUCCUCACCUGGUCCGUUCCUACAGGCGUCUGGAUGGUCAACUGUAGUUUCACAUUAAAAAAAAAACCCAUCAAAAACCACCAUCAUCUGAUGCACUUUUCAGUUGUGCUUUGCACUUGUGAUAUUUCCACUUCAUUUCCUCACAUUGGAUGAGCACCUAACC